GGAAUAGACAAAAUGGCUGACGGCGGUUUGGACUGUGAGCGAUGGUUCCCCUCAGCAACACUUUUGGCCCAACUAGGAUGGGAGCGUUUGACACAUUUGGUGCAAGAGGGAGUUUCCACACUUGGUCUGCUUUGGUACCUGUGCACUCAAAAUAGACAAAAAAAUACAUCACCUGGCUGGGUUGCCCUUGGUGUUACCAUGGCAACGUGAUAAAUAACCCGACACAAGAUGGGAUACUGCAAAGUGAAACAGGGAAAUAUCAUUUUUCACUCCUCUAAACAUCCUAUAUGAACGCUAAUUUCUAAAAAUAAUUAUUGUUGUGUUUUUGUUUUUUUGACCCAGCUCAGAAGGGAAAAUGUGAUUUGAGGACAUUCGCGCCGAGUCAGCAUCAGUGUAACAAGAAGUUAACAAUGGAAAAUGUAAAGAACAACCAAACACUCCGUCUUGGAUAGCAGGAAAGUGUCCGUACUGAUGCUGGAGUCAUACUGCUUUGGGUCCUCUUAAUUCAGCUGUUUGCCACACUGAGGAGGCACAUGUUAUCCAGAAGGAGACCGAGGGCAAAGUGCAACCAUUUGGAGACUGUGGAGUAUACAUGCUGUAGCAACAAGGUCGGGUUGCGGGGGCAGCAGCCUAAGCAGAGAAGCCCAGACUUCCCUCUCCACAGCCACUUCGUCCAGCUCUUCCCAGGGGAUCCUGAGGUGUUACCAGGCCAGCCAGGAGACAUAGUCUCCCCAUUGUGUCCUGGGUCUUCCCCGUGAACUCCUACCAGUCGGACGUGCCCAAAACACCUUCCCAGGGAGCCAGGGACAUUCGGAUCAGAUGCCUGAACCACCUCACAUGGCUACUCUCGAUGUGGAGGAGCAGCGGCUUUACUCUGAGCUCCCCCCGAAUGACAGAGCUUCUCACCGUUUCUCAAGGGAGAGGCCCGCCACCCGACGGAGAAAAUUCAUUUUGUCCGCUUGUACCCGUGAGUCUCAGCUGAAGAGGUAGGAACACAAUAGAAGCUCUAGUUCCUGGAACUAUAGGUUCAGGUAGUUUAUUCAAAUCAUGCUGAUGACGUAUGGAAGAGUGGCUUGGUAUAUUUCUACACUGAUAGCACGUAAAUAAACAGACAACAUUAGGUCAGAGUUAUUUUACU